rnacentral:rRNA from 1 species
GACGAACGCUGGCGGCGUGCUUAACACAUGCAAGUCGAACGGAAAGGCCCUGCUUUUGUGGGGUGCUCGAGUGGCGAACGGGUGAGUAACACGUGAGUAACCUGCCCUUGACUUUGGGAUAACUUCAGGAAACUGGGGCUAAUACCGGAUAGGAGCUCCUGCUGCAUGGUGGGGGUUGGAAAGUUUCGGCGGUUGGGGAUGGACUCGCGGCUUAUCAGCUUGUUGGUGGGGUAGUGGCUUACCAAGGCUUUGACGGGUAGCCGGCCUGAGAGGGUGACCGGCCACAUUGGGACUGGGAUACGGCCCAGACUCCUACGGGAGGCAGCAGUGGGGAAUAUUGCACAAUGGGCGGAAGCCUGAUGCAGCAACGCCGCGUGCGGGAUGACGGCCUUCGGGUUGUAAACCGCUUUCGCCUGUGACGAAGCGUGAGUGACGGUAAUGGGUAAAGAAGCACCGGCUAGCUACGUG